GACGAACGCUGGCGGCGUGCUUAACACAUGCAAGUCGAACGGUGAAGCGCCUUCCUUUUUGGUGGGUGUGGAUGAGUGGCGAACGGGUGUGUAACACGUGAGUAACCUGCCCCCUUCUUCUGGAUAACCGCAUGAAAGUGUGGCUAAUACGGGAUAUUCUGGGUCUGUCGCAUGAUGGGUCUGGGAAAGAUAUUGUUUCGGUGGGGGAUGGGCUCGCGGCCUAUCAGCUUGCUGGUGGGGUGAUGGCCUACCAAGGCGGUGACGGGUAGCCGGCCUGAGAGGGUGGACGGUCACACUGGGACUGAGACACGGCCCAGACUCCUACGGGAGGCAGCAGUGGGGAAUAUUGCACAAUGGGCGCAAGCCUGAUGCAGCGACGCCGCGUGAGGGAUGGAGGCCUUCGGGUUGUGAACCUCUUUCGCCAGUGAAGCAGGCCUGCCUCGUUUGUGGGUGGGUUGACGGUAGCUGGAUAAGAAGCGCCGGCUAACUACGUG
rnacentral:rRNA from 1 species